CCAAAACAAGGAACUCUUGAAUUCAUAUUUUCCCCAUUACAAGGACUCAACAUCUUGUGACCCACUCCUUCUGCCUGGGGACAUUUUACAGAAAGGACUUUCAGCCUCCUCACCACCUAGCCAUGCUCUCUGUGACCAUUCUACUGCUUGGAAGUCUCUUCACACUGAAAGGAAGUGGAGCCCAGUCGGUCACCCAGAUUGAGAGCCAUGUCACUGUCUCUGAAGGAGCCCCCCUGGAGCUGAGAUGCAACUAUUCCUACGGUGCAACACCUUUUCUCUUCUGGUACAUCCAAUACCCCAACCAGGGCCUCCAGCUUCUCCUCAAAUACAUUGGAGGGGACCUGUUAGUUAAAGGCAUCAAAGGCUUUGAAGCUGAGUUUAGGAAGAGUGAAACCUCCUUCCACCUGAAGAAAGCCUCAGCCCAUUUGAGCGACACAGCUGAGUACUUCUGUGCUGUCAGUGGCACAGUGCCUGGGGCUACAGAGAAAAAUGGGGAUGGGAAAUUCACAGUCUUCCUCAACAAAAGUGCCCAACAGCCCAACAUCUUUCCCUGCACAUUGCAGCCUCCCAAUCUGGAGACUCGGCCACUUACCUCUGUGCAGGAACAUCCUCAGGGCAGCUGCUCUGGACUUGGUUCGCUGCUACGAAGCCGGUUUAAGAGCUGGGGGCUCCUGAUGCUGGGUUGGCUGUGGGCCAAGGAUGGAGCUCUCCUGAAAGCGGUUCAGGUACCUGUGAGGCAGAUGAUGGAGUGCACAGCUCAGUCUGGAGAGGCCUAG